rnacentral:rRNA from 1 species
AGGACGAACGCUGGCGGCGUGCUUAACACAUGCAAGUCGAACGGUAAGGCCCUUCGGGGUACACGAGUGGCGAACGGGUGAGUAACACGUGGGUGAUCUGCCCUGCACUUCGGGAUAAGCUUGGGAAACUGGGUCUAAUACCGGAUAUGACUACGAAUCGCAUGGUUUGUGGUGGAAAGCUUUUGCGGUGUGGGAUGGGCCCGCGGCCUAUCAGCUUGUUGGUGGGGUGAUGGCCUACCAAGGCGACGACGGGUAGCCGGCCUGAGAGGGCGAUCGGCCACACUGGGACUGAGACACGGCCCAGACUCCUACGGGAGGCAGCAGUGGGGAAUAUUGCACAAUGGGCGCAAGCCUGAUGCAGCGACGCCGCGUGAGGGAUGACGGCCUUCGGGUUGUAAACCUCUUUCUAGCAGGGGAGAAGGCCUUUCGGGUGACGGUACCGUGCAGAGAAGCACCGGCUAACUACGUGCCAGCAGCCGCGGU